rnacentral:rRNA from 1 species
AAUGACGAGUGAUUUGACUGAGCGGCGGAUGGGUGAGUAACGCGUGGGUAACCUGCCUCAUACAGGGGGAUAACAGUUAGAAAUGACUGCUAAUACCGCAUAAGACCACAGCUUCGCAUGGAGCAGUGGUAAAAACUCCGGUGGUAUGAGAUGGACCCGCGUCUGAUUAGCUAGUUGGUAAGGUAAUGGCUUACCAAGGCGACGAUCAGUAGCCGACCUGAGAGGGUGACCGGCCACAUUGGGACUGAGACACGGCCCAAACUCC